GGAUAACCUACCCAAGAGUCCGGGAUAACCCCGGGAAACUGGGGAUAAUACCGGAUGGGCCACCUAUGCUGGAAGGCGGGGUGGUUGAAACCUCCGGGGCUUUUGGAUGGGUCUGCGGCUGAUUAGGUUGUUGCCGGUGUAACGUACCGUCAAGCCUGUAAUCAGUACGGGUUGUGGGAGCAAGAGCCCGGAGAUGGAUUCUGAGACACGAAUCCAGGCCCUACGGGGCGCAGCAGGCGCGAAAACUCUACAAUGCAGGCAACUGCGAUAGGGGAACAUCGAGUGGCGUCCAUAUUGGAUGUCUGUCCACCCGCCUAAAAAGCGGGUGUUAGCAAGGGCCGGGCAAGACCGGUGCCAGCCGCCGCGGUAAUACCGGCGGCUCGAGUGGUGGCCGAUAUUAUUGAGUCUAAAGGUCCGUAGCCGGCUUUGCAAGUCUCUCGGGAAAUCCAGCGGCUUAACCGUUGGUCGUCCGGGGGGUACUACAUUGCUUGGGACUGGGAGAGGUAGGAGGUACUCAGGGGGUAGGAGUGAAAUCCUGUAAUCCUUUGGGGACCACCGGUGGCGAAGGCGUCCUACCAGAACAGGUCCGACGGUGAGGGACGAAAGCUAGGGGCACGAACCGGAUUAGAUACCCGGGUAGUCCUAGCCGUAAACGAUGCUCGCUAGGUGUCACAACAGUCGUGAACUGUUGUGGUGCCGUAGGGAAGCCGUGAAGCGAGCCACUUGGGAAGUACGACCGCAAGGUUGAAACU
rnacentral:rRNA from 1 species